rnacentral:rRNA from 1 species
GAUGAACGCUGGCGGCGUGCCUAAUACAUGCAAGUCGAGCGAACAGACGAGGAGCUUGCUCCUCUGACGUUAGCGGCGGACGGGUGAGUAACACGUGGAUAACCUACCUAUAAGACUGGAUAACUUCGGGAAACCGGAGCUAAUACCGGAUAAUAUAUUGAACCGCCUGGUUCAAUAGUGAAAGACGGUUUUGCUGUCACUUAUAGAUGGAUCCGCGCCGCAUUAGCUAGUUGGUAAGGUAACGGCUUACCAAGGCGACGAUGCGUAGCCGACCUGAGAGGGUGAUCGGCCACACUGGAACUGAGACACGGUCCAGACUCCUACGGGAGGCAGCAGUAGGGAAUCUUCCGCAAUGGGCGAAAGCCUGACGGAGCAACGCCGCGUGAGUGAUGAAGGUCUUCGGAUCGUAAAACUCUGUUAUUAGGGAAGAACAAAUGUGUAAGUAACUAUGCACGUCUUGACGGUACCUAAUCAGAAAGCCACGGCUAACUACGUG